GUUUACGGCCAUGCUACCCUGAACAAACCCGAUCCCGUCUGAUCGCAGAAGCUAAGCCGGGUCAGACCUAGUUAGCACUUGGAUGGGAGACCACCUAGGAAGACCAGGUGCUGAAGGCG
rnacentral:rRNA from 1 species